ACAGAUGUUGUAGAGGUAACAUAUCAGUCUCUCACCAUCGAGUUUCACUGAUGCCCGGGGUUCGAUUCCCCGUUACGGA